AUUGAACGCUGGCGGCAUGCUUUACACAUGCAAGUCGAACGGUAACAGGUUAAGCUGACGAGUGGCGAACGGGUGAGUAAUGCAUCGGAACGUGCCCGGUCGUGGGGGAUAACGCAGCGAAAGCUGCGCUAAUACCGCAUACGAUCUGAGGAUGAAAGCGGGGGACCGUAAGGCCUCGCGCGAUCGGAGCGGCCGAUGUCAGAUUAGGUAGUUGGUGGGGUAAAGGCUCACCAGGCCGACGAUCUGUAGCUGGUCUGAGAGGACGACCAGCCACACUGGGACUGAGACACGGCCCAGACUCCUACGGGAGGCAGCAGUGGGGAAUUUUGGACAAUGGGCGCAAGCCUGAUCCAGCAGUGCCGCGUGCAGGAAGAAGGCCUUCGGGUUGUAAACUGCUUUUGUACGGAGCGAAAAGGCUCUCUCUAAUACAGGGGGCUCAUGACGGUACCGUAAGAAUAAGCACCGGCUAACUACGUGCCAGCAGCCGCCGCCG
rnacentral:rRNA from 1 species